AAGACACUGCUGAUGGCUUCUGAUACGGCCAAAUAUCAGCAGGUAAUUCUGGGCAGUUAUUAUCCUUGGACUUGAUUAAAAUACAAGGAAGAACCCAGACUGCCGGCUGGUAUCAGGCCGUGAGAAUGCCCACAACCCCACACACAC
rnacentral:pre_miRNA from 11 species